UACGGAGGGUGCAAGCGUUGUUCGGAUUUAUUGGGCGUAAAGCGCGUGUAGGCGGUUUCUUAAGUCUGAUGUGAAAGCCCUGGGCUCAACCCAGGAAGUGCAUUGGAUACUGGGAAACUUGAAUACGGGAGAGGGUAGUGGAAUUCCUAGUGUAGGAGUGAAAUCCGUAGAUAUUAGGAGGAACACCGGAGGCGAAGGCGGCUUGCUGGGCGUGAUCUGACGCUGAGGCGCGAAAGCGUGGGGAGCGAACAGG
rnacentral:rRNA from 1 species